rnacentral:rRNA from 1 species
UACGUAGGUGGCAAGCGUUGUCCGGAUUUACUGGGCGUAAAGGAUGUGUAGGCGGAUACCUAAGUGAGAUGUGAAAGCCCCGGGCUUAACCUGGGGACUGCAUUUCAAACUGGGUAUCUAGAGUGCAGGAGAGGAAAGCGGAAUUCCUAGUGUAGCGGUGAAAUGCGUAGAGAUUAGGAAGAACAUCAGUGGCGAAGGCGGCUUUCUGGACUGUAACUGACGCUGAGGCAUGAAAGCGUGGGGAGCAAACAGG